GAGAAACACAGAACUGGGAAGGUUUGAGCAGGAGGAUAGAGUGAGGGAACCUGGGAGCUCUCGCCUGAGAACUGACUAAAGUCAGACCGAGGCCUGGUCUACACAAGGCAAUUGGGUCAGUGUAACUGCGUCACUCGGGGGCAUGAGAAAGGCGGCGUCACAAACGAUGCAGCUGCAGUGGUUUACAUGUAGACACAGUGGUGAGCUGGCGCCGGUUUGCGGGAACCGGUUCUAAAAGGGCUUCUAAAUUUAAUAACUGGUAAGUUUAAGUGACCCAGGAGCGUAGCUGGGGGAGAGCAGGGGAGCAGCCGCUCCCUGUCAUCACAUUAUCCAAAAGUGGCGCCUUAGGUGCUGACCCCGUGAGUGCUCCAGCUCCCCACCCCAGCCCCAGCUCACCUCCGCUCUGCCCCACUUCUCCCCCCCGAUAGCCCCACUUCUCGUGAAUCAGCUGUUCACGCGGGAAGCCUGGGAGGGCUGAGAAGCAAGCAACGACUUGGUGCUCAGGCCCAGGGAGGCAGAGAUGCAGCGUAGGUGAGCUGGGGCAGGGGGGUCACCCGCGCCGCAGCAGGUAACCCCGGGGGGGGGCACACAAGGGAACCACUCCCUGCCCCAGCUCACUUCCACACCGCCUUUGUCACCCUGCGAGCUCGACCUGACCCGGUCGAACGGCAUGGCUGUAUCGCCGCCAGCCACCUCCAGGCAGCGAGGGACCAACGGGGACUCAGAGGACAAGGAGGAGGAGGAGGAGAAAUGGGUGGACGUGGCUACAGAGGAGGCUGCUCUCAACAUCAUCCAAAAGUAGCACCAGGGCAGAGAAAAGGUACAAACCUUCCCUAACUGGGCUGGGACCGAGACUGUCUUCCCCUUCCCAGCACCCGACCCCCUGCAGAGGGUCUUGCCAUGAUGAACCACCACCCCUAAUGGGGACCUUUCUCCUGCAUGCUCUGGGACCCCCCAAGAUGGGGGUGUUUGUCUCCUCCCCUCUCAGGCACUGUCCCAGAUCCUGACUCUGCUUGUGUAGAAGUCGUGGAUGAUUUGGACAAUGGGCAGGUUCCCGCUAUCCUCCAGGGAGGCCUGAGCCCUGCAGCUGAUGUGGAUGGGGCAGGGAGGUCCCGGGCUAACAGGCUCUCUCUCCCCUAAUCCCUCUCCUGGUAGGUGCAGGAUGAGGCCCAGCAGCUCAUGUUCCUUCACGCCAUCCACCCCACAUGUCUGGCUGCACAGCAGAAAAGGCAGGACACACUGGAGCCGCACUGCUGCCCUUCUAUGAAAUGAACUGGUUGAGUCUGCUCCAGUUCUCUUGUCUGUAAUCAGGAGGCUAAAAUGACUGAGGGAUGGUCUUAUGAUUACAACAUGGCCAGGGCCGGCUCCAGCUUUUCUGCUGCCCCAAUCCGCAAAAAAAGAAAAAGGAAAAAAAAAGAGCGGCAACACUUCAGGAGUAACUUAUUGCUAAUAUGGGGAAGUCUCUGGGAGGAAGAGGCCGUUCUGGUCAGCCUAGAGUCCGGCCAAGCUGCAGCGCAACCUGUUUUCAGACUCCGGGUCUGUCACUCAGGGCCUGUCUACACACUGAUGAGCUGCCAAAAUCUUAACAACCGGUUCCCUUCUCAUCCCACAAGGGGGUCAUUUUACAUCACUUUGCUUCUCCUCCGGGACAGGAGCCACUGGGUUUCCCCUGUGAAAAUCCAGGACAGGGUGGGUUUGCAGCUCCCCUCUGCUGAGGGCGGGAUGGGGGCAGCAGGAGCUGGGUCAGGGCUGACUUGUGGCUAAGGCUCAAGAGAGCAGACGGGAGGGAGGGCUACUCAUGUACACUAUGUACAGACAGAAUUUCCAUGAUGUGGUGACAUUAUAAAUGUUUGGGGUUUAGAUGUUUUCCGUGACACACUGUUCCAUUGAAAAGGACCUACCAUUAAAUGCCAUCAUCACAAAGAGUGCCAGACACAUAGAAUUUAACGUUACAAUUCCUGCUCAAGGUAUGGACAGACCAGCAAUUCUCACCUCCAGCUCUUCACAGGUCAGCCAGUUGCUGGUCACAUGGCAAUAUAAGGGAACUAUUUGAUCACAGAAUUGCAAUGCACCCAUUCUAGGGAGUGGGCACUUCUCCCAGUUAGUGAAAUAUACCUUUAUUGCCCUUGAGCAAGAACUGCCUGGACGGAGAGAAGACAGGCAGUGUCAAAAGGAAAUAUUAGCAAGUCACCUCACCUAUUUGUGCCUCGGUUUCCCCAUCUGUAAAAUGGGGAUAAUGAUACCAGUCUCGGCCGGGGGGGCCCCUCUGGGAUAGCUGCCUGUCAUGGCACAGAUGCUCUCUAACUCACAGCUGGCAGCACAGGCCUGCCUCCAGAGGGGAGCUUGGCACACACCUGGCUGCUCAAACCAUCUACACGGAAGGAAUUGACAGCAUGCUUGUUAACCACCGGAGCUACUUGCUGCAGCAGAGCUGGCUCCAGCCUGCAGCCCCUGGCACUGCUCAGGCACUCAGCCAUCAUGAGAGGAUGACUCCCCGAGCCCCACCUUGGAAAGGGGGCCCCAGGCUGCUCCCCCAGGGACUGUCAAUCAUUCAGUGAGGAGCCGUCCCAGUUCUCCCCGUAAUGGGGCCUGGCUUGGCCACCAGGUCCGAGGUUCCUGCUGCUUGGCCCCUGCUGACCUAUCCUCCACCCCCCAAGACAUCAUUGAGGACAAACUGGACAAGAAGUUGUGGCCCUUUGUGUCGGACUUGCUCCUUGCCACCAGUUCCCAGGCUCCUGUCAGGUAAGGCUGAGCCUGGCUGGGCUGUGGGGAGCAGAGUCCUGACACGCCCUCCACCCAGGGUAUAGGAGCCUCUGUGCCUGGGAGUGUGUGGCCAGGACCCUGCCCUCUAUGGGGGAGGGGAUGCCUAAGAGCCUGGUGCCCUGGAUCCAUCUCACCAUGUCUCCCGCCCCACAGCAGUCCCUCAGCACACCAGGGCCCAGGAUGGAGGAAAGGGACUGGCUGAGUUUUAGACAGCACCCCCAGCCCAGGGCAGGUGCCAUCCUCCCCUAUUCCCUCUUGCCUGCUUUGGGUCUCCUGUCCCACUGCCUUGGGCAGGGCCUGCCCCCCAGCCUCCUCCAGGCGUGGUGGGAAGUUUAUCGGUUCUAGGGGCCCUGACCGGCUCCUUGCCCCUGUCCGGCGGCCGCCCAGCCUGGGACAAGUCUCGCCCCUGCAGUCCCUCUCCGCUGCGUGUCUCCGGCGUCUCGGAGACACUGGUGCCCACCGUACGGAGCUGCGGGAUAUGCUGCCGCCUGCAGCACACCUCUGUUCCAGGAGCUUGAUUGGCUGAGCUGCUCACGGAGCAGGACCCAGGUGCUUCAGACCCGGGCGGAGGGCCCUGACACAGCCCGCUGUCAGCUGCUGAUCGUGGACCGGAGCUUCGACCUGGUGUCCCCACUGCUGCAUGAGCUCACCUACCAGGCCAUGGCCUAUGACCUGCUCAGCCUCGAGAACGACACCUACAAGUAGGGGCUGGCUGCCAGCAGGAGGCGCCCCGCACUCCUCCUCAGGCGGGCGGGGAGGUACAAGACGACAGGGACCAGCAACUCGCAGGAGAAAGAGGCGCUGCUGGACGAAGACAAACUGGGUGCAGCUACGCCACAUGCA